rnacentral:rRNA from 1 species
CCCUUAGAUGUUCUGGGCCGCACGCGUGCUACACUGAGUGGAUCAGCGGGUCAGGUUGCGCGAAAGUGUUUCCUAAUCUUGAAAUCCGCUCGUGAUGGGGAUUGACGGUUGCAAUUUUCCGUCAUGAACGAGGAAUACCUUGUAAGCGCGGGUCAUCAUCCCGCGCUGAAUACGUCCCUGCCCUUUGUACACACCGCCCGUCGCUCCUACCGAUUGAGUGGUCCGGUGAGGCUUUGGGAUCUGAGUGGAAAGAGCGUUUCGCUGUUUCUGCUCGGAAAACUCAGUCGAACCUUAUCAUUUAGAGGAAGGAGAAGUCGUAACA